CAGCUCUUUGCAUGAGGUGGCCAAAGUACUGGAGUUUCAGCUUCAGCAUCAUUCCCUUCAAAGAAAUCCCAGGGCUGAUCUCCUUCAGAAUGGACUGGUUGGAACCUCACAAAAAGGGCAUAUGAAGUCUCAUCAUCAUGCACCAUUCACUGUCAAAGUUGGAUGUCUCUAGACCGUGCCUUGCAUUGAAGAAGACAGCAUGAUGAGGAAGCUCAAGAAGUAGGAAAACGAAAAUUUAGGAUGUCAGGAUCAUGAGUUGUUAGGCACGCUGCUGAAACUCCACAAGCUCACCAGAAGCUACUUUUCACGGACAGUCCCUUCAUCAUAAAAGCCUAGGACAGUAGAAUUGCACCUUCAACUGGCAUCUCUCUACCUUACAGGGUCCUAAAAGCUUUCAGAUCCACCUCAGGCCCAGGCAGAAGCAAAGUGGGAGAGGAAUUGAAGAAGCAAAAAUAAAUAUUAAAGUACAUAAGAAUUAAAUAUUACCUAUUUAAAUGGCAAUUAUGCAGUUGAAAACAAGAUCAUCACACCUGUACAAGAAAAGGCAUGCAAGCCCAAAACAUCUGCUUGGAUCCACCUGCCAGGCACCUGUUUUGCUGUUUCAAUGCCAUUUGAUUGCUGGAGAUGUAGAGGCUCUUGUGAGGAAUAUUGGCUCUUAAAAGGCAGUGUCCAUUAAGAAAAAAGACUCUUCAGCCUGCAGCCCAGUGAGAAACCUGAACCGUAUUGAGAUGCUGUGGAUGCUGUGAUGUAAUGUUGGCCAGAGACAAGAAGUAUGGAGGCCACGGGUUUGAGUGAAGAAAUCACCAAGGAAGGGGUUUCUCUGUCCUGUGCUGCUCCAGAGGAGGCCUUGGGGAUCAAAGAGGAACCCUCCAAGCCCUUUGCACACUCCUGACCCACCAACAUGUGAGUAAACAAAAUGGUCAUUUUAAGGCACUGUGUUUUGUGGAGGUUUGUUAUGAAGCAAUAG
ensembl:lncRNA